CUCACGGGUAGACCUCCCACCCUUGUGUAUUUAUACUUUGUUGCUUUGGCGGGUUGGAUAUCGAUCAAUACUCCCAUACUCUCCGGUAAGUCUCCUUGGAGCUCGAGAGGUGAAAGGAGGCUUGAUCGAUACAACUCAGCUAGGUGCGUCUUUCGCAACACUAGGAGAGCGCCCGCCGAAGGAAACCUAAACCCUGAAUAUUAGUGUCGUCUGAGUACUAUAUAAUAGUUAAAACUUUCAACAACGGAUCUCUUGGUUCUGGCAUCGAUGAAGAACGCAGCGAAAUGCGAUAAGUAAUGUGAAUUGCAGAAUUCAGUGAAUCAUCGAAUCUUUGAACGCACAUUGCGCCCCUUGGUAUUCCGGGGGGCAUGCCUGUUCGAGCGUCAUUUCAACCCUCAAGCUUAGCUUGGUAUUGGGCUUCGUCGGUCACACGACGGGCCUCAAAGUCAGUGGCGGCGCCGUUGGGUCCUGAACGUAGUAAUAUAUUUCGUUACAGGUGCCCCGCGUGCUUCUGCCAUUAAACCCCCAAUUUUCUAUGGUUGACCUCGGAUCAGGUAGGGAUACCCGCUGAACUUAAGCAUAUCAAAAGCCGGGAGGAAA
rnacentral:rRNA from 1 species